UACGUAGGUGACAAGCGUUGUCCGGAUUUAUUGGGCGUAAAGCGAGCGCAGGCGGCUCUUUAAGUCUGAUGUGAAAGCCCACGGCUUAACCGUGGAACGGCAUUGGAAACUGGAGAGCUUGAAUGUAGAAGAGGAAAGUGGAAUUCCAUGUGUAGCGGUGGAAUGCGUAGAUAUAUGGAGGAACACCAGUGGCGAAGGCGACUUUCUGGUCUACUAUUGACGCUGAGGCUCGAAAGCGUGGGGAGCGAACAGG
rnacentral:rRNA from 1 species